GAGUGGGUACCUAUAGAGAUCGGAUACUACACAGCUAAGAAAGAAUCUACUCUCUUCUAGAUCAAGAUUUAAAAAAAGAUUUAUGAAAUAGGUAUGUGAUCCGAUCACAUAUUCAAUUUCAGCAUAAAAUUCAGCAUGUGUUUAAUUUUAGCAUAUAAAGUAGAUCCUAGUAUUUUAGGUUUUAUGCAUGCAUGAUUUAGAUUA
rnacentral:lncRNA from 1 species